GUGGUAAUGGCUGCCCGUGGCUGGCGCCGGGCUGGGCUCGUUGGGGCAGCGUUAAACGUCUGGCAGGUGGACCCUCUGUGGUAAGGGAGCGGGUGAUCCCUUUACCUCACUCUUAGGCUAUCGACGGAGGUGCGUGUCCUGCGUGGCGGGCUCCGCUUUCUCCGUCCCAGCUUGGCCUCGGCUUCUCACAGUCCUCAGAUUCCUUCAGCCUGACAGCUCGGUGACUCCUUGUGUCCCUGCAGUGUCCAUGCACAGAGAUGAGCAGGAUCGCCGCUUGGUCCAUCACCCUGAUACGCCUGAGAAUCCCCGGGUCCUACGAGUGGUCCUCCCGGAAGCCGGAAUGCAGGGAAGUCAACACUCUCCAACCAGCUACUGGGCCAAAAGGUGUUCCCUGUUUCCAAGAAGUUGCAUACACUCGCUGCCACGCUCUGGGAGUCAGCGCAGAGGAGACCCAGGUGAUUCUACUUGACGUACCUGGCAUUAUCGGUCCUGUUAAACAGAAGAGGCACCACCUGGGGCUCCGUUUGUUGGAAGAUCCAUGGAAGAGCAUGGAGUCUGCUGAUCUUGCUGUGGUUCCUGUGGAUGUCUCUGACAAGUGGACUGGGAACCAGCUCAAACCCCAGUUGCUCAGGUGCUUGACCAAGUUCUCCUAGAUCCCUAGUAUCCUGAUCAUGAACAAGGUAGAUUGUCUGAAGCAGAAGUCAGUUCUCCUGGAGCUCAGGGCAGCCCUCCCUGAAGGUAUGGUCAAUGGCAAAAAGCUCAAGAUGAGGCAGGCCUUCCACUCACACCCUGGCACCCAUUGCCCCAGCCCAGCAGUUAAGGACCCAAACACACAAUCUGUGGGAAGCCCUCAGAGGACUGGCUGGCCCCACUUCCAGGCACUCUUCAUGUUGUCAGCCCUAAGGCAGGAGGAUGUGAAAACACUAAAGCAAUACCUCCUGGCACAGGGGGCCUAGCCAGGGCUCUGGGAGUACCACAGUGAAGUCCUUACUAACCAGACACCAGAAGAGAUCUGUGCCAACAUCGAGAGAAGCUCCUAGAGCACCUGUCCCAAGAGGUGCCUUACAAUGUGCAGCAGAAGACGGCAGUGUGGGAGGAAGGACCUAGUGGGGAGCUGGUUAUCCAACAGAAGCUUCUGGUGCCCAAAGAAUCUUAUGUGAGGUUCCUGAUUGGUCUAAAGGGCCACCUGAUCUCCCAGAUUGCUCAGGAGGUAGGCUGUGACUUCAUGAGCAUCUUCCUCUGUGCUGACAUCUGCCUCUCUGUGAAGCUCCUCAAGUGACCACCUUCUACGGACCCU